UUAUGGGGUGAACUCCCCUCUUUACA
rnacentral:tRNA from 1 species